CAGUCAUCAAGGACAAACGCCCGUCUCAACAUUCUGCAACCAUCUCCUUCUAAGUCCAUGGUGCAACAAACUUCAGGAACUGGUGCGGAGGCUGUGGCUGGUUAAAUUGUUGCGGCAAAUAGUAAAUGUAGACUGAGAUUUGGACCUGUUUGCCUCCAUUUCCAGAUCAGUGAUAUGUGAAAAAGUCCUUCCUGUAAGAACUAAAAGGUUAACACAUUAUUUGCCAGGACUACAUGUAUAUAUAACCUUCAGACAGAAUCAGGGCCACCACUGACAGUGUAAAAGUUAUUCAGUUUUAAGUAUUCGGUGUGUGACCCAAAGGAAAUGUGAUGUUGGCUGCAUGUGUGACGAGCAGGCCUCAGGCUAACCAACAGGCUACACCAGAGACAGAGGGUUUACUGAAACAGUUGGGCAGGCUAGUGGCCCGGCUACAUUGGAUACAUGUGUGACGAGCAGGCCUCAGGCUAACCAACAGGCUACACCAGAGACAGAGGGUUUACUGAAACACUUGGGCAGGCUAGUGGCCCGGCUACAUUGGAUACAUGUGUAGUGACCCGGACUGGCUAACCGGCUGGCCACACUACUGUAAUCAGCUUCCAGUUCGCUGUAUAUAAAGCUCAUAAAUAUUCCACAGGUUCUUGUACCAAUUGCAAAUUUCUGUGAGUCGCUUGUCAAACUGAUUUGUAUGAAACCUGUGACGAGAAAUUGCAGAUAAAUUCUCUACCCUUUAGCCUUAACAUCGCCGAUUACCUCUCAAUAGAACCUGAAGAUGAGUGGAUAUUACUGUAUUGUCAAGUGUAGACUGUUACACUGAGUCGUAGAAAAAUGUGGAAGAACAUUAGAUAAGAGCAUCAACCUGGGAACAUGCUGUGAAUUAUUGAACUGUAAAUAUUCGGGGAAAAGUAUGAUGUAUGUUUGGUGUGUUACAACAGUUCAGAACUGUGAUGUUGGAUAACUGUGUGCUGUUUUUACUGAGUGAAUUCUGUAUGUCAGACCAAUGAGUAGGAUGCACAUUGUGUAUUCACACUACCAUAGGUAACAUACUCCCCACAUGUACUUGUAUUGUUAGGGGAGUCUGAGCAGUUUUGUAGUGUUCUAUAGGUUACACAGCAGCUCUGUAAUGUUCUGUAUGUUACACAGCAGCUCUGUAAUGUUCUGUAUGUUACACAGCAGUUCUGUAAUGUUCUGUAGGUUACACAGCUGUUCUGUAAUGUUCUGUAGGUUACACAGCAGCUGUGUAAUGUUCUGUAGGUUACACAGCAGUUCUGUAAUGUUCUGUAGGUUACACAGCAGCUCUGUAAUGUUCUGUAGGUUACACAGCAGCUGUGUAAUGUUCUGUAGGUUACACAGCAGCUCUGUAAUGUUCUGUAGGUUACACAGCAGCUCUGUAAUGUUCUGUAUGUUACACAGCAGCUCUGUAAUGUUCUGUAUGUUACACAGCAGCUCUGUAAUGUUCUAUAGGUUACACAGCAGCUCUGUAAUGUUCUGUAGGUUACACAGCAGCUCUGUAUUGUUCUGUAGGUUACACAGCAGCUCUGUAAUGUUCUGUAGGUUACACAGCAGCUCUGUAAUGUUCUGUAUGUUACACAGCAGUUCUGUAAUGUUCUGUAGGUUACACAGCAGUUCUGUAAUGUUCUGUAGGUUACACAGCAGCUGUAUAUAUUGUCCCAUCUGUUGGUCAAACCUUGAUGCUGUCAAAGUGCAAUAGAUUUCUGCGAGUGCCAGGUUGAAAUGAGUUGGAUUUUGUGCAAUGUUAGAAUCAUAGAAGCCAAGCUCUGUAGCCAAUAAUGAUAAUUUUGCUAGGUAGUCAUAUUUGUGCAAUAUGUCAUGUUAGUUGCAAAACAGUAAUGUACGUUUUAUAUCAGAACGGCAGAUUAUGCAAUUAUACUGACAUUACUGUAUGUCUGAACAUGACAGGUUAAGGCUUACACAUUUGGUGUUUGGGUUUAUUUCAUUUUUGUUUUUGAAUUUUUGUAGUCUUCCAAAAGCUGGAAACUUUAUUGCCAUACCGACUGCUCUGAGUUUCUCAGUGGCACUUUAUUUGUGCUGCAGAUCAUUUUGUUGUCUUCCAUUCUGCAAUGAAAAUGCCUUUAUUACUAGUAAGUUUGCAAUCAUGUAAAGCAUUUUAAUAUUAUGCUGUACAGAUUCUAUUAUGUAUAUUUCAAUGUUGUACAUGAAUGGCUGGAGGUAUAAUUGUAUGCGCAUAGUCAUUGUAAAUAGUACAUUAUGUGGAAUGUCAUUAUGAAGACUAGAAAAUACUGGUCACUUUGGAAAGUCUACAGGCGUAACAUUGGAGCCUAUUUUACCGCAGGGUGUACAGGGAAGCUAUGCCGAAACAUUCUGUGAAAAUAUUACUCCGUUUUUUACUUCAUAUGUGCAACUUUGGGUAUCUUUUAACUGCAUAAGGUACAGCUGUAUGUUGUUAUAAAUAUAUGUAACUACAUGUAUGAAAUUUGUUCGACAUUUCCCUCUUGUGGCUUCGUUUCCAGUGACCAGUAUUCGGAUACUAAGCACAGAAAACAGCCGCCCUGACUUCAGAUUUGCUUUAGGAGACCGUCCUGCGCAGCUGUAUAGCAUGUGAAAACUUAGAUUAAAGUGGUGUCCGGUCAUGAGA